rnacentral:lncRNA from 1 species
ACUUUAAAAUAUCAUGAUAUUUGGUUUGAAUUUUAAAUUUUUCAUUUCAAUAUUUUCUAUCACUAGGUCUGAAUGUUUUCCACACAAAAAACAUGGAUUGCUGUGGGGGCACAAAGAAGUUGUCGGCAGGGAAAGGAAGGCAAAAAGAAUCCUGUUAAUUCAUCCACCAAUGACACUACACUAUAGCUGUCUCUGAUACAAAGGGAGAAGUAGCUGCUCAGAUACACAAUCAUGCAAGACAACAACUGAUCCACAUGGAUUUUUAAAACCUGCAGUUCUGAGAAGAGAAAACUUCUGCUUAUCUUUUUAUCAGGUUUUCACUUCAGCUGGUGGUAUUAAGUUGGAAAAUUCAGCUAAAGUUUUUGGAGAUGAAGUUAUGGUCAGAAUUGUUUCUUCUAAAUCACUUAAUCCAAAUAGAAAUGGGCUGAGAUGCAGCAUACCUAGGUUUAGAAGGAUUAGAUUUUUAUUGGUAAAGGCUGAUAAACGUCAAUUUCAUCACACACACAAACCGACAAAAAAUAAUUCCAUUGAAAAUAAUUAAAAUUUACAGAUCAGUAGAGAAAAAUGCUGCUUGAGAGCUUAGUUU